ensembl:lncRNA
CCAUCACUCACCUGAACCUAGGUCCGUCACUCACCUGAACCUCGGUCCCUCAUCUGAGCCUCAGUCCAUCACUCACCAGAUCCUCAGUCCCUCACCUGAGCCUCGGUCCAUCACUCACCUGAGCCUCAGUCCAUCACUNAUCCAUCACUUACCUGAGCCUCGGUCCAUCACUCACCUGAGCCUCGGUCCAUCACUCUCUGGAGCCUCGGUCCAUCACCUGAGCCUUGGUCCAUUACUCACCUGAGCCUCGGUCCAUCACUCACCUGAGCCUCGGCCCAUCGGUCCAUCCCUCACCUGAGCCUUGGUCUGAGAGCAUCAGCUCAAUCACAUUGCUUCUGAGGCACUUCACCACCUUAUAAACAGGGCGGGGUGGCGGGAGCUCGCCCGUCUCCGGGCACAGAGGUCCUCUGCCCCACAGUUUUUUUCCCUCACAGGUUCCUGGGAGGGCGCAAGGGGAAGAGUAGCUUUCUGAAGAAAAGCUAACCGUGAGCGCAGAGAGGAGAGACUCAUAUCCUUGCAAUGAGGACAUUCUGUCUCUUUGAGUGCAUCUUCUGCAUGGGAUCUCCCCAGCCAUAGGAUGCACUCACUGUGACCAUCUUGAUCCACUGUGAGGUGUUUCCACUGCGUAGCUUCAAGUCUCGUAGUUUCAUCAUCUUCGCUGAAGGAGAAGAUAUCUGAGGAUUCUAUGCCCGCUUAUAUAGCCAGAUGGUCCCACCCAUUCUGGCGGGUUUCAUCGCCAUAGGCUCAUGCAGCUCUGCUGCCUAGCCAUUGGUUCGUUUUUAACUCAAUGCACGGACCAAUGGCUGCGUUAUUGAAAAAGGCUUCAGUCAUCGGAGAAAAAAUAAUUUUUCCUCUUAGGGUCUUAGCAGACGCAGUACGAGUGAAGUAUCGAUAGGGAACUUGAUUCUCUUUUGGAUGAAGUUGAUUUUGACAGAUAUUUGUUUCUAUUUUAAUCACAAACUGAUAAAAUUGAUAAAUUUCUAAAAACAAGAUGCCUUUUCUUCUGUCAUUUUAAGAAUCUUUAGUUGUUUGUGCUGGAGAAUGAGAAAAAUUCAGAGUAAAAACAGCACUUUUUGCAGGGACAGUAAAAUAUCUCCAUAUUCGAGUAAAUGGGGAGCAGAGCUAUGCAAACCUUAAGCGUUUUUUUGUUGUUUUUUUUUUUUUUUUGGUAAAAUGAAUUAAGUAAUUUUGGAAGUUUUUGAAAAGAUCUUUUGGAAGUUGUAUUUUAAAAGUUCAACUCAUCG